UUGUCCAUUCCCGGCUGCAACACACCUGAUUCAGAUGAUCAGCUCAUCAGCCAUCUCUGAAGCAGCAUUGGAACGAUCCUGAUUAUUUGAAUCGGGUGUGUUGCUCCUGGCGAAGUUGGAAAACAGGACAAGCGUCCCUUGAGGACUGAGUUUGGAGACCCCUGCCUUUUACCCUAAUCUCCCUCACUCAAACCCUAAUUCCCUAAUGCAAACACCUGUCCAUGUACUCUAGCCUCUAAACAAUGAUCCCCACACCUCUUAACCUAACUAUAAACACUAACCCUCUAAUCCUAACUAAACUAACAUUAACCCCAAACCUUGACCCACAAAAUGCUAGCCCCUAAUUCUAACCCGAUUUGACAAUGCAACCCCCACAUCAGAGCCCCGGGCCUGGAGGUCCACUGUCCGGCCCGUUGUCCACCUCUCCUGGCUGCAACACACUUGAUUCAGAUGAUCAGCUCAUCAGCAAUCUCUGAAGCAGCAUUAGAACGAUCCUGAUUUUUUUGAAUCAGGCGUGUUGCUCCUGGCAAAGUUGGAAAAGGGUCAGGACAAGCGUCCCUUGAGGACAGAGUUUGGACACCCCUGCCAUUCUCCCUAAUCCCCUCACACAAACCCUAAUUCCCCAACCUUCAAUGUUAAUACCUGUCCUUGUACUCUAACCUAUAAACCAUGACCCCCUCCCCUACACCCCCUAACUACACUUAUGGUAAUCCUAAACCUUGACCCAGAAAAUGCUAGCCCCUUAAUCCUAACCCGAUUUGACAAUGCAACCCCCCAAAUCCAGGCACCAGCCUUCAUCCAUACUCCAGGAAUGUCUGGACCUGGAGGGCCAAUGUCCUGCUUUUUUUCCACCUCUUUCAUGUGUAACACACCUGAUUCAGAUGAUCAGCUCAUCAGCCAGCUCAGUCAUUAGAAUGAUCCUGGUUAUUUGAAUAAAGGUGUGUUGCUCCCGGCAGAGCUGGAGAAACAGACAGACCAAGUUGGGACACCCCUGCCCUAUCCUGAACCUUCUAACUCUAAACGCUAGCCCUGUACCCUCACCCCUAUCCUAAACCAUAACUCUUGAAUCCCCUACUCUAAACCCCUAACACUUCAAACCCCCAAGGCCAAUUUUAAAUCCUACCUCUUAAUCCCAACUCCCGAACCAGACCGUUAACGCUAACCUCGCAUCACCCUAAUCCCCUGUAACCUCUUCACCAUCAAUGCUGAAACGCCAAAAUGCUGAACCGGAACUGCCUAAACACCUAAGGGUCUCACUCCUAACGUCAAAUCUUAACCCUGAUCCUCUUAAUCCUAUCCCUAACUUGAAACCCAGAUUCUCCAGCCCUAACCUAAUACUAACUCUGGCCCUACACCUUGUCUGAACCUAUACCCUACUCCAAACCCGAACUUUCAUCAGAACUGCCUAAACACCUAACCUAAAAUGCCUAAUUCUAACACUAAAAGCAAAAUGUCCUCUCCUUAACUUCUACCUAACCCACAACCAUGACUCGGAGCUUCUCAAACCUAACCCCUCACCCAUUUACCUAAACCCCCCCCCACCCUAACCUCUUGACUACCCCUGUAAUUGUCAAACCCUCAUCCCCCUAACCCACCCGUUAUCACUGAAAAUGCUGGCCUCUUACCCCAGCUUCAACCGCAGGCCCCCCCCCCCACCUCCCACCAAAAUCGUAAAACUAAACUUAAACUCUUCCAUACUCCAGGCAUGUUGUGCUCUGGGCAUUGGCGGGCCACUGUCCUGCCUGUUUUCCACCUGUCCUGGCUGCAACACACCUAAUUUAGAUAAUCAGCUCAUCAGCCAGCUGAAGCAGCAUUAAAACGAUCCUGAUUAUUUGAAUUGUGUGCUGCCCCUGGAAGAACUGGAAAAGGGCCGGACGGAGACUCUUAAUGACAGUUUGGACACCCCUGCCCUACCCUGAACGCUAAUCCCAACCUAAACCAUUACCCCCUACCCGAAACUAACAACCCCGAACCACCCAAUCUCUAUAAUCCUAAAACCAGAUUAAGACCUAACUUCUUAUUGCCAGUGAAUUAAGUGACACUAAUGCCUAACUGCUGUCAGUUUAUGCAAUUUGGUUUUAUUUCAUUGGGACAGUGCACAUAAAUCAACAAAUUGAGGAAUAAGCGGUGAAACUGGGUAAUCUUUUACAAGUGAACCCAGUCUGCAAAACCUGCAAACGAAAUUUUCCAAUGUAAAAUAUGGACAAAUGGAAGCUGUACUACCCCAAGUGACACAUUCAGCAGAAGUCAUUUGAAUGCUGAUGGAAUUACACGAAGACUCAAGUGUUCAACCAUUGGAGAAGUGAGGAUGACAGAUGUGGAAAAAGAAGAUCAAGACCCUCAUCCAGGCCAAAACUGGACUUAACUGAAUAAAGCCAAAGUUCUCUCACAAACGAUCCAUACGAUUUGUCUUUUUUUUUUCACUUUCAAGUGUGCCAAAUUGUUUACAUUAAAAAUACAUUGAUGGAAAUUGCUUUUGUAUUGAUCUUGAUUGCUUUUGUAAGUUGAUCUUCUCAAGCCGUGACCACCUGAUGUUGCUCACAGUGGUCAUCGGUGUGCUCAGGGUCUGUUUGCCCAGACGUGAAAAAUUAGAAGGAACAUUGCACCCAAGGUGCACAAUGGCCUAACUCUAGCCCCUCUUAUUCUAACCCCACACCUUACACAAACCCCUAACAACGCCCUACUGUUGAAUUCUUGACCUAAUCGCUGACCCCUAACGCCUACUCCCACCCUUGAACCCAAAAAGCAGAACUGAUGAAACGCCUAUCCCUCGCCACUUAAAAUCUUAAUUGUUUCGCCUCCUAACCCCAACCCAUAAAGAUGACCCCCUCGCAUCCAAUUCCAGACUACUUAACACCUGAUAUUCUACCCUGCGCCUAACAUGAAUUGUUGUCCAAACAAACCCCUAUCGAUAACAGUCGCUAGCCCCUAACCCUUAACACUAACCCCAAUUUUGACAGCAAUCCCUGGAUCCAAACACAAUCCUACCAGAGACAUGCCUAGCUCCUGGCCUGGAAGGCUACUGCCCUACCUGUUCUCCAGCUUUCCUGGCUGCAACAAACCUGAUUCAGAUUAUCACACGGCCCUGAAUCAGCAUUGGAACGAUCCUGAAUGUUCUAAUCAGGUGUGUUGGGACAGCUGGAAAACUGGCAGGACGGUGGCCCUUGAGGACAGUUUGGACACAUUUGUCCUACCCCGUGCCCUAACCUAAACAAUUACCCCAGGCCCCCUUUAAACCCGUUUAGCCUCACCCCUAACCCUGUUCCCGUUCCCUAACGCUCACCCUCAACAUUAACCCCAACUAAUCUCUAGUCAUCAUCUAACCCAAAAUGGCAAAACCACCUAAAUGCCUCACUGCAUAAACAUCUAAACGCAAAACUCUAACCUCUGAAUACCUUAUCCACCCAAGUCUUACAGCCUAACCAGACCCCUACUUGAU